GAUGAACGCUGGCGGCGUGCCUAAUACAUGCAAGUCGAGCGAACGGACGAGAAGCUUGCUUCUCUGAUGUUAGCGGCGGACGGGUGAGUAACACGUGGAUAACCUACCUAUAAGACUGGGAUAACUUCGGGAAACCGGAGCUAAUACCGGAUAAUAUUUUGAACCGCAUGGUUCAAAAGUGAAAGACGGUCUUGCUGUCACUUAUAGAUGGAUCCGCGCUGCAUUAGCUAGUUGGUAAGGUAACGGCUUACCAAGGCAACGAUGCAUAGCCGACCUGAGAGGGUGAUCGGCCACACUGGAACUGAGACACGGUCCAGACUCCUACGGGAGGCAGCAGUAGGGAAUCUUCCGCAAUGGGCGAAAGCCUGACGGAGCAACGCCGCGUGAGUGAUGAAGGUCUUCGGAUCGUAAAACUCUGUUAUUAGGGAAGAACAUAUGUGUAAGUAACUGUGCACAUCUUGACGGUACCUAAUCAGAAAGCCACGGCUAACUACGUGCCAGCAGCCGCGGUAAUACGUAGGUGGCAAGCGUUAUCCGGAAUUAUUGGGCGUAAAGCGCGCGUAGGCGGUUUUUUAAGUCUGGUGUGAAAGCCCACGGCUCAACCGUGGAGGGUCAUUGGAAACUGGAAAACUUGAGUGCAGAAGAGGAAAGUGGAAUUCCAUGUGUAGCGGUGAAAUGCGCAGAGAUAUGGAGGAACACCAGUGGCGAAGGCGACUCUCUGGUCUGUAACUGACGCUGAUGUGCGAAAGCGUGGGGAUCAAACAGGAUUAGAUACCCUGGUAGUUCACGCCGUAAACGAUGAGUGCUAAGUGUUAGGGGGUUUCCGCCCCUUAGUGCUGCAGCUAACGCAUUAAGCACUCCGCCUGGGGAGUACGACCGCAAGGUUGAAACUCAAAGGAAUUGACGGGGACCCGCACAAGCGGUGGAGCAUGUGGUUUAAUUCGAAGCAACGCGAAGAACCUUACCAAAUCUUGACAUCCUUUGACAACUCUAGAGAUAGAGCCUUCCCCUUCGGGGGACAAAGUGACAGGUGGUGCAUGGUUGUCGUCAGCUCGUGUCGUGAGAUGUUGGGUUAAGUCCCGCAGCGAGCGCAACCCUUAAGCUUAGUUGCCAUCAUUAAGUUGGGCACUCUAAGUUGACUGCCGGUGACAAACCGGAGGAAGGUGGGGAUGACGUCAAAUCAUCAUGCCCCUUAUGAUUUGGGCUACACACGUGCUACAAUGGACAAUACAAAGGGCAGCGAAACCGCGAGGUCAAGCAAAUCCCAUAAAGUUGUUCUCAGUUCGGAUUGUAGUCUGCAACUCGACUACAUGAAGCUGGAAUCGCUAGUAAUCGUAGAUCAGCAUGCUACGGUGAAUACGUUCCCGGGUCU
rnacentral:rRNA from 1 species